rnacentral:rRNA from 1 species
UACAUGGGGUGCAAACGUUGCUCGGAAUUAUUGGGCGUAAAGCGCACGUAGGCGGUUUGUUAAGUCGGAUGUGAAAUCCCUCGGCUCAACUGAGGAAGUGCACCCGAAACUGGCAGGCUUGAGUACUAAAGAGGGUCGCGGAAUUCCCGGUGUAGUGGUGAAAUGCGUAGAUAUCGGGAGGAACACCAGUGGCGAAGGCGGCUUCCUGGCCUGUUCUUGACGCUGAGGCGCGAAAGCUAGGGGAGCAAACGGG